CCCGAGACUGGAGUCACAUCCUGACAGUUCUCGCCCUAGUGUGUGCGAGUUCUCGGACAGGACCUGCCGGUCUUGACUCUCUGACAAGGGCACUCAGUGCCCCUGGGAGCACCCAGAUCAGAGCCACAC